GACGCGCGGUCACGAGAAUGUUUAGCAGAAGGCUGCUUAUCAUCGUCUGUCUUCAUCUCUGUGCAGGCAUUGGACAAAAUGAAGCGUGUGAACUGGCUGAAUGUUUCAACUGUUCUCAACCUCUAGGUAGAAAUAAAGCACAAGGCAGAGUCUAGAGAACCUGCUCAAUAUAUUUUACAUUCAAUUUUGUAAAUAACCUGAUUAUAUUUCUUCGUUCUAGCCCAAGCAUGUCCACUGUGCCAGUCCACGUCAAAUACCUGCACCAAUGGUCGGUUACAUUUUAUUUUUUUAUUUUUUUUGAUUCUGAAUUUAGACUGCAUUAAAAUGCUCAUUUCAUAUUUGCGUGUACAAAAAUUAGUGAAGAAAUUCUAGUUUAGGAGAAAGAAAAGUUGUGUGAUCAACAGCAAAUGCUAUGAAAUACAAAAAUAAAUUAUGAUUUUUAAUCACACGUCUGAGAUGUAAACACAAAUAAAAAAGAAUUGCAACAUAUAAACUUAGAAUUGAAAGAUAUAAAUUCAAAAUUCAGAUUAUUUUUAUUGCAAUUCUGGGAGAGAUUUUAAAUCUUACAUUUCUGUUUUUUUUUUUUCCCACCAAGGAAUAAAAAAUAAGUUUAUAUCACGCAAUUUAAUUUUUUUACUCAGAAAAGUCUGAACUGUGAGAUAGAGUUGCAAUUACUUUAUUUUUUUAUUUAUUUUUUUUAUCCUGUGGUGGAAACAAGCUUCCAUAAUCAGAAAUGUCUGAAAGAAUAAAAAAUACAAAAUAUAUAAUGACAAAAAUAAUUACGUUUUUGAGAAUGCAUUAAAUCUGUUCCCAUUCUCCUUUUCCCCAGAUAUUCUGCCAAAUUGCACGAAAAAAGGUACAAGUACUGUGCAUUAUUGCCUGAAAGACUGAUCAAAUCAAUGCUACCGGAGAUAGUGAUUAACCCUCAGGAAGAAAAUUACGUCAUCUGUUAGAUAUCAUUUGAAAACAGAUGAAAUGUAUGAUGACCUUUGACCUUUUGCUCUCCUUCCCAGAUUUUAAUGUGACCAUAAAACCCACUUCCACUAAAGUUCAAGAGGGUGUGACCGUGAUUCUUAACUGCACUCAUAACGUUCCCAAUGGCUCCAUUAGCUGGCUAAAGGACAAUGUAUUACAAGAAAACGAAAAUAAAGAAAUAUUUCAAAUCAAGUACAUUCAAAAAACCGCAGUGAUCAACUGCCAGGUUACAAGUAGUUGUGGGAACUACAACGAUACUAUAACAAUUGAAGUAGAAGCUGCUAAUAAUUUGGUGGUUUUACUGAUUUGUGUCGGAGCAGCAGCUGCUCUCCUCAUGCUGUUUGCAAUAGUCAUGAAGAUCGCACUCAAGAGAGGACAAGCUCAGAGUCAGGCCAGGAAAAGACAAAGACAGCAGAACCUGGAGAACAUCCACAGCUCUGUGAACACCGUCACCAGCUACUACUGAGAGAGAGCGCUUCUGCAGCCCAAGCUCCUGAUUCAGAGACCUUUCAGUUCUACACUCCAAAUAUAUUUAGACCUAAAUUUAUGAACUGCAUAUACAAUUUCCGUCCAUCUGGAUUAUACAAUUUUAACAUAAACUAAUAAUUGAGCUUUUAACGUGAACUCUAUGAACUUUAUAUGCGAUUCAAAUCAGUUUUGCUCACAUGUUAUUAUUAAAUGAUAUGGUGUAAAGUUGACUCGCUGGAUAGAUGGCAAUGGAAUGGGGUGUUUUUUUGACUUGUUAGGUCAUCCUAAAAACACAUGCGGAAAUGAAUAAUGUGAAAUACAGUGGUCGCCUACAGUAAUCAGUGAAAACAGCAAACGAAGGAAGAUUCGUCUUUGCACCGUUUUGUGAGCAAACACUUUACAAUAAGGUUCCAAUUGUUAAUAUUAGUUAACUACAUAAACAAACAAGGAAAAAUACUUCUAAAGCAUUUAUUAGUCUUAAAUUAUGUUGAUUCCAACAUUUACUAAUACAAUAUUAACAUUAACAAGAGUUAUCUAUUAAUGUUAUUGAAUGGACCUGAGCUACCUGAACAAUGAACAGUAAACAAAGAUUAAUAAAUACUGUAAUAAUGUAUUGCUCA
ensembl:lncRNA